AUAUAUUUUUGAGCCUAUCACUUUUGUUUUUUUAGCCCAUUUAUCCUUAUGCUAUUGGGCUACUUUUAAUAUAGCCAUUUUUUCCUAAAUCAUUUCUACAUGUUUUCUUUUCUUCUCAAAAACCUCCACUCCUAAAAUCUCUCCGCCACUCCUUAAAAAUCUCCAACUAAAUACUCUAUUAACUCCAUUUAUACAUCUCCUCCCACAAUCUCAACCAACCGUCGUUCCUGCAGCUUUUCUUCUCUUCAUUGAAGUUUGAGGGAGAAACCCAGAGAGUUGCAAUUUUUUUUUCAAUACCUUCUCUUCUGCAAGUUUUGCCUCUCCGGAAGGGUGAACUUGUGCACGUUGUUUACAGUGGGAACAGAAAGUGGUUUGAGGAAAUAAGCGUUUGAGAUUGAGCGGCGAUGGACGAGGAGGAUGUCGAGCAGAGUUCAUGGAUUGUUUUGUCAUGAUUAAUAAAUGUUGGGUUUGUCGUGUCUUCAUACUCGACAUUUUCCAUGUCUUGAACGCUUCCGCUAAGAGUCAUUUUCUUUAGAAUUGUUUAUUCGUGCAGAGUCUAACUCGUUUGAAAAUUGUUUAUUGUCCUUUCUUUAUUUACUUAGAGUUGGCAUUAUUGUUAGGAUAAUAUUAUGACGUUUUUAAGGUUAA